AAUAUCUAAACGGUGAGNUUNNAUAUUNUUGGCAACAAUAAUGUGCACUUCUNAUUUAGUAAGACGUUGUGAUCCAUUAGAAAUUGAUUGUAUCAACAAUUAUGAGGUUAUCAAUAGGCUGAUGUAAAGUUCAUCAAUAUAAAUGACUUGAUCUUUAAUGGUUGGGUGUAUUAUAUGGUGAGUAUAUCAUGUUCUGCUUAUAACUGUCUGAUGGAUUUUAAAGGCUAUAAAUAUUGAUGUUCGCAUCACCCUUUCAGAGGGAAUGAUUAUGUGCCCGAUCAACAACGGUUAAAUUUGGGAUACCUUUUGGACCCGUCUUGAAACACGGACCAAGGAGUCUAUCUAUUGCGCGAGUAAAUGGGUAUAUGAAACCUAUUUGCGUAAAAAACUUGACUGUUAUGGGAUUACGAGUAUCUAUUCAACGGUACUUCUCCAUCCCGGGGUAUUUUUAUCAACACAUAUAGCAAUGUAUGUGGAAAAUAUACCAUGAGCGUAGUGGAUAUGACCCGAAAGAUGGUGAACUAUGCCUGAUCAGGUUGAAGUCAGGGGAAACCCUGAUGGAGGACCGAAGCAAUUCUGACGUGCAAAUCGAUUGUCAGAAUUGGGCAUAGGGGCGAAAGACCNAUCGAACCAUCUAGUAGC
rnacentral:rRNA from 1 species